rnacentral:rRNA from 1 species
CCUACGGGCGGCAGCAGUGAGGAAUAUUGGUCAAUGGCCGGAAGGCUGAACCAGCCAAGCCGCGUGAAGGACGAAGGUACCAAGUAUUGUAAACUUCUUUUGUCAAGGGACAAAAUCAGGCUCGAGAGCCUGACCGAGGGUACUUGAAGAAAAAGCAUCGGCUAACUCCGUGCCAGCAGCCGCGGUAAUACGGAGGAUGCGAGCGUUAUCCGGAUUUAUUGGGUUUAAAGGGUGCGUAGGCGGGCUGUUAAGUCAGCGGUAAAAGCCCGGGGCGCAACCCCGGCGCGCCGUUGAAACUGGCGGUCUUGAGAGGUAGAGAGGGAUGCGGAAUGCGCGGUGUAGCGGUGAAAUGCUUAGAUAUGGCGCAGAACGCCGAUUGCGAAGGCAGCAUGCCGGCGGCGAACUGACGCUGAGGCACGAAAGCGUGGGUAUCGAACAGGAUUAGAUACCCGAGUAGUC